rnacentral:rRNA from 1 species
AUUGAACGCUGGCGGCAGGCCUAACACAUGCAAGUCGAACGGAACAGGAAGCAGCUUGCUGCUUCGCUGACGAGUGGCGGACGGGUGAGUAAUGUCUGGGAAACUGCCUGAUGGAGGGGGAUAACUACUGGAAACGGUAGCUAAUACCGCAUAACGUCGCAAGACCAAAGAGGGGGACCUUAGGGCCUCUUGCCAUCGGAUGUGCCCAGAUGGGAUUAGCUAGUAGGUGGGGUAACGGCUCACCUAGGCGACGAUCCCUAGCUGGUCUGAGAGGAUGACCAGCCACACUGGAACUGAGACACGGUCCAGACUCCUACGGGAGGCAGCAGUGGGGAAUAUUGCACAAUGGGCGCAAGCCUGAUGCAGCCAUGCCGCGUGUAUGAAGAAGGCCUUCGGGUUGUAAAGUACUUUCAGCGGGGAGGAAGGGAGUAAAGUUAAUACCUUUGCUCAUUGACGUUACCCGCAGAAGAAGCACCGGCUAACUCCGUG